rnacentral:rRNA from 1 species
UACGGGGGGGGCAAGCGUUGUUCGGAAUUACUGGGCGUAAAGGGCUGGUAGGCGGCCAACUAAGUCGGAUGUGAAAUCCCCAGGCUUAACCUGGAAACUGCAUCCGAUACUGGUCGGCUUGAAUCCGGGAGAGGGAUGCAGAAUUCCAGGUGUAGCGGUGAAAUGCGUAGAUAUCUGGAGGAAUACCGGUGGCGAAGGCGGCAUCCUGGACCGGUAUUGACGCUGAGGCGCGAAAGCCAGGGGAGCAAACGGG